UACGGAGGGUGCGAGUGUUAUUCGGAAUCACUGGGCGUAAAGAGCACGUAGGCGGAUAAGUAAGUCAGAUGUGAAAUCCCGGAGCUCAACUUCGGAACUGCAUUUGAUACUGCUUGUCUUGAGUGUGGUAGAGGGGGGUGGAAUUCCCGGUGUAGAGGUGAAAUUCGUAGAUAUCGGGAGGAACACCAGAGGCGAAGGCGACCCCCUGGGCCAUUACUGACGCUGAGGUGCGAAAGCGUGGGGAGCAAACAGG
rnacentral:rRNA from 1 species